rnacentral:rRNA from 1 species
UACAGGGGGUGCAAACGUUGCUCGGAAUCAUUGGGCGUAAAGCGCACGUAGGCGGUCUGUUAUGUCGGAUGUGAAAGCCCUCGGCUCAACUGAGGAAGUGCAUCCGAAACUGGCAGGCUAGAGUACUAAAGAGGGUCGCGGAAUUCCCGGUGUAGAGGUGAAAUUCGUAGAUAUCGGGAGGAACACCGGUGGCGAAGGCGGCGACCUGGGUAGAUACUGACGCUGAGGUGCGAAAGCGUGGGGAGCAAACAGGG